rnacentral:rRNA from 1 species
UACGAAGGGGGCUAGCGUUGCUCGGAAUCACUGGGCGUAAAGCGCACGUAGGCGGCUUUCUAAGUCAGGGGUGAAAUCCUGGAGCUCAACUCCAGAACUGCCUUUGAUACUGGAAAGCUUGAGUUCGGGAGAGGUGAGUGGAACUCCGAGUGUAGAGGUGAAAUUCGUAGAUAUUCGGAAGAACACCAGUGGCGGAAGGCGGCUCACUGGCCCGAUACUGACGCUGAGGUGCGAAAGCGUGGGGAGCAACAGG